rnacentral:rRNA from 1 species
GUGGGGAAUCUUGCGCAAUGGGCGAAAGCCUGACGCAGCCAUGCCGCGUGAAUGAUGAAGGUCUUAGGAUUGUAAAAUUCUUUCACCGGGGACGAUAAUGACGGUACCCGGAGAAGAAGCCCCGGCUAACUUCGUGCCAGCAGCCGCGGUAAUACGAAGGGGGCUAGCGUUGCUCGGAAUUACUGGGCGUAAAGGGCGCGUAGGCGGACAGUUUAGUCAGAGGUGAAAGCCCAGGGCUCAACCUUGGAAUUGCCUUUGAUACUGGCUGUCUUGAGUUUGGGAGAGGUGAGUGGAACUCCGAGUGUAGAGGUGAAAUUCGUAGAUAUUCGGAGGAACACCAGUGGCGAAGGCGACUUACUGGUCCAUUACUGACGCUGAGGUGCGAAAGCGUGGGGAGCAAACAGGAUUAGAAACCCGUGUAGUCC